rnacentral:rRNA from 1 species
GACGAACGCUGGCGGCGUGCUUAACACAUGCAAGUCGAACGAUGAAGCCCAGCUUGCUGGGUGGAUUAGUGGCGAACGGGUGAGUAACACGUGGGCAACCUGCCCCAAACUCUGGGAUAACUCCUCGAAAGAGGUGCUAAUACCGGAUACGAACUAGACAGACAUCUGUACUAGUUGGAAAGUUUUUCGGUUUGGGAUGGGCCCGCGGCCUAUCAGCUUGUUGGUGAGGUAACGGCUCACCAAGGCUACGACGGGUAACCGGCCUGAGAGGGCGACCGGCCACACUGGGACUGAGACACGGCCCAGACUCCUACGGGAGGCAGCAGUGGGGGAUAUUGCGCAAUGGGCGAAAGCCUGACGCAGCGACGCCGCGUGAGGGAUGAAGGUCUUCGGAUCGUAAACCUCUUUCAGUAGGGACGAAGCGAAAGUGACGGUACCUAAAGAAGAAGCACCAGCUAACUACGUGCCAGCAGCCGCCGUAA